rnacentral:lncRNA from 1 species
GAACUAUUAUUUCUAUUACAUUUCCAAGAAAUACCAAAAUGUCUUUCAGUUAGUUAUUUUGAAAUUGAGUAUUUAAAAAAGUACACUCAAAUAUGCUAAAUGGUCAGUGGUAAAGUACAUGAUCUAUGAUGUACUUCAUUUUAAAAACUAAGGAGUAGCUUUUCUCCAGGAAUUACACGUUAUAAAAUUUAAGAAGAAAAUUUGUUAUGAUCAAAGUAUGUCGUUUGGUGACUCUACAUACUUUACAGAUUUUUUAAAUGUCACUAUUUUUAUAUAACACUAAUUGGUGUUUUCAUAAUAAAAUUUGUUAUAUUUUUAGAUAUACUAGAGGAAAUAAAUACUUAAAUAUUACUUCUGAAAAGCUAACAUUAUCCAACGUACUCUAUUUUUCUAGUUUUUAUGUCUUCCUCCAUUUAGAUUUAUGAUAUCUUUCAAAAAUCAGUGGUUUUCUUCAAUUCAAUUCAAGUACCUUACAGUAAAUGAUGUUUUGCUAUACAUUAACUUGCUGUCUAAAGCAAUGAGACAAGCAAAAUAUAUUAAAAUUAGAACAUUUUAAAAGAUAAUGUUCAAAAAUUAGCAUGAAAUACAGGUUAUGAUUGAUAAAAUUAUACUUAAAAAUUUCAUUUGAAAUUCAAAACAUUUUAUCAUCCAUAAUUCCAAUUGCUUCCACAUACAGGCAUAUGUAUUUUAUGAAAUUCUAAUGAUUUCUUUCUUUUCUCCUUGUUACUUUCUUUUUUAUAGAGAGAGGGUUAAAAUUUGGAAGAGACUGGCUACCUCUCAGAUUUCAAAAACUUCUAGCUAGAUUUCUUUGUCCACCUGUUCUUAAUCCAAAGAUCCAAAUGGGAAACAAUUAUAGUCACUUCCUAAAUUUUCAUCUGCAUUCACCUUCUAUGUUAUUUUUAUUGACAAAUGUAGAGAAUUUCCAAAUAUUGUUGAAAUUUGCCUCCUUUCUAUAUCUACAUAGGAGAUAUACAGAAACACUAACACAAGAUAUUUCUAUAAUGAAACGCUACAUAUGACAUUAUAUAUUCCUUAGUAUUAAACUUACAACCAUUACAUUUCUAUGCACAAUUUAAGGGAAUUAAACCAUUUAUUUCUCCCAUGUCAUUAAAAAAGGGUAUUUUUUAAAGGAUUGAAUUUAGAACAAGUUGAUAAAUCUCAGAGAACAAAAACACAAUUGAAACUAAAGAUGGAUGUGCUAGGUAAAACCUUAGUCUUCUGUUUUAAAUUUUCCAAAUUGAAGAGUUUAGCAUGAUUGAUGUAAUUUUGGCACUAUGAUUGGUUAUUCUUCUGUGUUUUUAUUUGUCAUACUUCAUCAAUUUGUAGAAUGUUUUACUCUUAAAGUGCCUUUUCCAUUUUGAGCUUGGGUUUAUGAUUUGAAUCACUAAAACGUCUGGUUUAGCUGUGUUUGUAUAGUUUCCCUAAAAUAUCUACUUCCACAUUUUAAUUUUAUAUGAUUCAGACUCAGCAAAGAAACACCAGCUGUCUUCCAUGUCAACAUUUUUGUUUAUAGGAAUAAAGCAAAUGCGUUAUGCAUUCACAUUCCACACCAAAUGGAAAGUUAAUACCAAAUACAUAAUAUCUUAUAAAAAAUUUCUAACAAUCUAAUAAUGAUACAUUCCUUCAGCUCAGAUUUUUGAAAAUGACUUUAAGAAGCGAUAUGGAAUGUUUUAUAUAGAGCAAUAAACAUAUUAAAAUGAAUCAAAACAAGAUUAAAAAUGAUUAAAUGACAAUUCUUUGCUUAUGCCUCUAUAGAGCUAAGAAAUAAGAAAGAUUAUACAAGGUGAGAGUAGGCCAAAGGAAAGUCAGAAGACAGUGUGCAGGAGAAGUAAAGACAGAAAGCAAGAUAGGCUUAAAAUGUGGAUAAUAAUUUUAUAUUUAUUAAUAUAAAUAUAGCUCAGAAUCCACAUAACAUAUAAUAAUGGUAUUUAAAAUCUAAAGACGUAUCUUAAUUUAAAUGGACUUAAAAAUAACUGAUCAGAAAGAUUUAUAUUUAAUUAUGUGCUAUAUAUGUUUUUGAUAGAAAUAAUGAUGAAAUACAACUCUUAAGAAACACUUUCAAAUAAUCAUGUACAUAAUGUGAAACUUAUGUAAAGAGGUGGUCCAUGCCUGGACACCUAUCAGUUACUGAAUAAUCACUGUCUUUUCCUACAAAUUAAUAACCAGAAACUCACUGUCAUCAAAUAUCUAUCUAAAUUUUAUUUGAUUUUAGAGUAUGAUUUCUGCUAAGUUGGGUAAUAAUAUAUGAAAAGGGAAUAAACUAGCUGUCAGUGUCCAACUUUUAAAAAAAUACUAUCUGGCCAACUUCACCCUAUAGUACCUUAAGGUCCAAAAGAAUUCUGGUGGACUCAAACACUAAGCAGAACUCAGCAGGACACCAGCUCUGAGCUCCAGGGCCCCUGAAGAGGCAAUUCUUUGGACCAAUAGUGAACAGUUCACUGUUCACUCACACAGGAUCUGAACCUAUAAUUAAAAUAAAAUUUUAUUCUAUACUAAGUGAGAGUACGUAAAUACAAAAAGAAACUUCUUCAUCACUUAGAGAGGGUAUAGAAGAUUCUUCCCCUCUGCAAGACAUUCAUUUCGCAGGACCCUUUUCCUAUAACCUCCGUGCUGCCCUUUAAUCUCUUAGGAUCCAGUUCCAUAUUUCUUGUGGUAUAAAUAACUAAAGAAUGGGGACACUGAGCAGUGACUGAGUAUGUAAGUCAGAACAACCCUGGAAUACUUCAUGAUAAAAUAUAAUAAAGCUUCCUAUUGAUGUUAUAAGUGGUCUCCAUGAGUAAUAGAAACCUGACAGUUUUUCCUGUGUUUAAGGGCAUCUGCAGUUAUUUGCAGUUUCUUCAUAUAAAUUGUUAAAAUAUAUUAUCUUUAAUAGGUAUAGUGAGGCUCAUGUUUCUAUGAAGACAUACUUGAGGUCAAAUUAAAUAAACACCCACAAUCAAAUAAAGUUAACAGUUAUAUUUAUUAAAUACAAUUUAAAAAGUAUUUCCAUGGUAAAUAUUGUGAAAUUAAAAAUAAUACAAUCAUAACCUCCAGGAUAAUUGUUUGUGUUUUUUCUCAUUGUAGUUAUCAUCUAUGGGCUGGAAGUAUCUGUAAAAGUUUAUGAGAUGCAGAUCCUACAUUUUAUAGUUGAUGAGGUUAUUUGACCAGAGUCAAAGCUGAGUCCCUUUCAAUUUUUAGGACGAGAUUUUCCAAAACACAUGGCAUACCAUCAUCUGGUAGCUCCUACCAAAUCAGAAGGCUCAGGAAUAAAAUUCUUCCAAAUCCGCACAAGAGAGUACAUAACUGUAAUACUCUGGAAAGAUCUCUAUUGUACAAAGCUGAAUGGGUCUCUUUAGAAAUAAUGUGAAGCACAUAAAAUCUUCUAAAUGCUAUUACUGUAAAUUUGAGGUUGUUGAGUUAGGUACUUGUGUUCCUCUUUCUGUAGCAGUAGUAAAGAUUUCCAAAUACAGGCACAUUCCUAAUAUGUUGACACUAUUUUAUCUUCAACAGCAGUUGUUAAAUCAUAUUACCUGGUGUCUGUGCGAAAUAUAAUGUAGGAUGGGCUAUAAAGUAAUAAAUAAAUAAAUAAAUAAACAAAUACAUACAUAAAAAUAUUUUUUCUCUUGUCUUAUACUAGCAAUUCCAGUGAUAAAAGUUGCUAGCUUCAAUUUCAGGUUAUCAGACCCAUGUCAGUCUCUGCCUAGCAUUAUUGAUAACUCUGUUGCCCAAGUCAGAAGUAGGAAGCCACACUUAACAAACCCAUACUUUCUCUUCCUCUUCUCUCAUAUGCAAUCAGUUAUCCAAGUCAGUAUUCCCAAUUGUACUUGUUUAUAUCAACAGCUCCGACUUCCUUUCCAUCACUAAUGUCAUUACCUUCUUCAGAGGUCUCAUUCUUCUUGCUUGAAUUACACAGGAGUCCUGUGGUAAUCUACUUGCCUACAGCAUUGUUCCAUCUCCAGAGGCAAAAUGGAGAAUUGGUUUGGAUCUUAGAUCUACCAUCACUUUCUUAUUUUGUACCAAAUUACAUAUAGAUCUGUCAAAAUGAUGUAGGACCUGAAAUCUCUCGGAAAUGCAGCGUGGAAAUGACCUAUAUGAAGUAGACAGUGAGAAGCGGACCUGUUAUGUCAGAUGAUGGAUGUGCUGCAGCCAAGAGGGCCUCCAUCAUCCAUGCUCAACAGAGGUCAUUGAAACAUUUGAGUUGACUUCAGAGUUCAGUUCGUGUUGACUUGUGGAUGUUGAAAGCUGCAUAUGCUAACCUCUUCCUAAAGUAAACACAAGAAGAUGAUCUUAAAAUCAUGAAAUACAAUAAGAAAUGAGAGGAACAUAAAGCAGUGACAACAAAAUUAGGAGACAGAGAUAAGGAAGAGGUGAUGCUCCGUGACAUCGAACCAAGUGAUAGAGACUUGCAGCCCGUUAAGGCGCCUCUGAGGACACAGGAACCACACUGGAUGUUUCCACUCCUUUCAUAGUCGCUAUCCCUGUGUACUUUCAUACCUCCGUAUUGUCAGAGGGGAACACAAAAGAGGGGAAAAUCAGAAGCAAAUAAAAGGUGAUGCUGUUUACAGCUUCUCUUUCCACUUAUUAAUGGCUAUGAAGAGUCUACACCACUGGGCCUCUGUGUUCAUCCUCGGGGGAAAGUAGAGCGGGAACGAAGCUGUCAGUUACACUCUGUUCCGAGGACGGGGAAAGGAAGAAUAAGU